CUGUUAGAUAAGCCUUACAUUUGCAGGCUUUAAAUGAAUGCAUUUAGGGUCAAGCAAAAAAAAAAAAAAGAAGAAGAAGUCUUAAAAAUCCAGUGCAAUUAAAUAUGAGCAGAUGAUACCACACAGGAGAAAUAAACAGAGGGAAUUAUCAGGUCCAUUGGACCGUGCUCAUAACUGAACAUGUGAGACACCGCAAAAACACUCUAACAACCCAGAACGUCUGAGAUCUUGUGCAGCUGAGACCGCAAGUAGAAAUGGAUCUUGGAUGUGAUGUCUGUUGUAGAAACUCGGGAAGAAGAAAAGUCAAAGCAAGAUGACUAAUCUGUGGGCCCUGGAUGUUUUUGUGCAAAGAUAAAUCAAGUGAAGCAACGUCAAGUCUCGUUAGUAAAUGAUGAAUCAGGUUGAAUAUUUUGCAAAUACGACCCGGAGCGGUUUCCUGGAAAAUCUUGACAUCAUUUACACAGCUGCUCAUGUAAACGGAUCAUCCUGAGCCUUUAUUACACUUGAGAGCCCUGCGGUGGAGUUUCCUACAAGUGGUCAGGCUUCAGCUUAGGAUCCGUCAGGGAGGUGAAGACCUCCCACUGGCGUCUGGGUAAAAACGGACCAAAGAUAGACAGGACUAAAUGUAAGAUGCUGUUUUCAUGACAUUUCUUAAUGCCUUUAGCCGCUAGGUGUGUUUUUCUCAUUAGAAUUUAGACAAAGUAUGUUUUAGUUCAGUAUUAGACGUCUUGAAUUCCACUGUGAGGUCUGUCCAUUAAGUCUUUCUCAUUUGCAAAGUCUAGAAGUUGACAAAGAGAACUUUGAUUAAAACAAGAAUGUGUUUGAGCUUUCCCAGAGCUCAUCCAUGACUUAUACCUUAACCUGACAACAUAUCUCUCUUGGAAAACUGACACUGAUGACUCUUCUAACCCUUCCUGCAUAUUUCACGCUCUUCCGUUCCACAAAAUUAGAGUCUCAUGAUCGUGACCGACUCACACCGAAGCCACAGCUGUGCUCAGUCAAUGUUUUCUGACAGCACUUCCAGACUGAUGAAAUCCAACCUUUAUGGCUCUGAAAUAUUUAUGCCGAUGCUCAAUGUCUUUCCACUCUGUAAGUAUGCCAUGCUUUGUUCAUCUUGUUCCAAUUUCCCGUAGUGAACAGCCCAUACGUUUUUAAGAUAAUGAGGCAGAUCAUCACUCUUUUGGAAUUUUGGGCAUUUAUCCAGGGAUUUGGAAAUCAUAUUACUAUAAUCACAUUAGGCAGUAUUAUCUGCUGGUCAGUUUUUUGCCCCCCAGUGUAAGUCCACAGUCAGGUGUCCAACCAAACACUCAUUUCUAAAUGACAGUAAUCUUGGUUCGUUCUUCACUAAGUGGUUUUGAGGUUUGCUGGUUUCUUGUUUGUGUUUCUCACAGCAGGCAAAAGUCUAACCUCACUUUUAUAGGGACAAUUUGUUGUAUAUUUGUUGUGUGAGAAAUCAACAACAAAUGAAAUAUAGUUUAACUGAAAGCAAAUGGUUGGGUUCAGCAUAUUAAUCUUUUGCAUUUUAGGUAUAGUUCACCCAAAAAUUAAUAUUCGG
rnacentral:lncRNA from 1 species